CCUACGGGUGGCAGCAGUGAGGAAUAUUGGUCAAUGGCCGGAAGGCUGAACCAGCCAUGCCGCGUGAAGGUCAGUGCCCUAUGGGCGUUAAACUUCUUUUGUGCGGGAGCAAUAAUGGUCACGUGUGGCCAGACGAGAGUACCGUACGAAUAAGCAUCGGCUAACUCCGUGCCAGCAGCCGCGGUAAUACGGGGGAUGCAAGCGUUAUCCGGAGUUAUUGGGGUUAAAGGGUGCGUAGGCUGUGAGGUAAGUCAGCGGUGAAAUGCCCCCGCUCAACGGGGUGAAGGGCCAUUGAUACUGCCUUGCUGGAAUGCGGAUGCCGUGGGAGGAAUGUGUGGUGUAGCGGUGAAAUGCAUAGAUAUCACACAGAACACCGAUUGCGAAGGCAUCUCACGAAUCCGCGAUUGACGCUGAUGCACGAAAGCGUGGGUAUCAAACAGGAUUAGAUACCCCUGUAGUC
rnacentral:rRNA from 1 species